rnacentral:rRNA from 1 species
UACGUAGGGGGCAAGCGUUGUUCGGAAUUACUGGGCGUAAAGGGCGCGUAGGCGGCUUUGUACGUUAGAGGUGAAAGCCCGGAGCUCAACUCCGGAAUUGCCUUUAAGACUGCAUCGCUAGAAUCAUGGAGAGGUGAGCGGAAUUCCGAGUGUAGAGGUGAAAUUCGUAGAUAUUCGGAAGAACACCAGUGGCGAAGGCGACUCACUGGACAUGUAUUGACGCUGAGGUGCGAAAGCGUGGGGAGCAAACAGG